AAACUUAAAGGAAUUUGACGGGGGCCCGCACAAGCAGCGGAGCAUGUGGUUUAAUUCGAAGCAACGCGAAGAACCUUACCUGGACUUGACAUCUCCUGAAUUACUCUUAAUAGAGGAAGCCCUUCGGGGCAGGAAGACAGGUGGUGCAUGGUUGUCGUCAGCUCGUGUCGUGAGAUGUUAGGUUAAGUCCUGCAACGAGCGCAACCCUUAUCAUUAGUUGCUACCAUUAAGUUGAGCACUCUAGUGAGACUGCCCGGGUUAACCGGGAGGAAGGUGGGGAUGACGUCAAAUCAUCAUGCCCCUUAUGUCCAGGGCUACACACGUGCUACAAUGGUGAGUACAACAAGAUGCAAUCCCGUGAGGGGAGCCAAACUUAUAAACUCAUCUCAGUUCGGAUUGUAGGCUGAAACUCGCCUACAUGAAGCUGGAGUUGCUAGUAAUCGCGAAUCAGCAUGUCGCGGUGAAUACGUUCCCGGGCCUUGUACACACCGCCCGUCACACCAUGAGAGCUGGCAACACCCGAAGUCCGUAGUCUAACCGUAAGGAGGACGCGGCCGAAGGUGGGGUUAGUGAUUGGGGUGAAGUCGUAACAAGGUAGCCGUAGGAGAACCUGCGGCUGGAUCACCUCCUUU
rnacentral:rRNA from 1 species